rnacentral:rRNA from 1 species
UGCCAGCCGCCGCGGUAAUACGGAGACUGCGAGCGUUACUCGGAUUCACUGGGCGUAAAGGGUGCGUAGGCGGCCAGAUGUGUCAGGUGUGAAAUCUCGGGGCUCAACCCCGAAACUGCGCCUGAAACUGUCUGGCUGGAGUCUUGGAGAGGUGAGCGGAAUUCCCGGUGUGGCGGUGAAAUGCGUAGAUAUCAGGAGGAACACCGAUGGCGAAGGCAUCUCUCUGGGCCGAUAUUGACGCUGAGGCGCGAAGGCGUGGGUAGCGAACGAGAUUAGAUA